CGUAGGGUGCAAGCGUUGUUCGGAAUCAUUGGGCGUAAAGCGCGUGUAGGUGGUUAGGUAAGUCGAAUGUGAAAUCCCUGGGCUCAACCGAGGAAGUGCAUUCGAAACUGCUUAACUUGAGAACGGUAGAGGAAGGUGGAAUUCCUAGUGUAGAGGUGAAAUUCGUAGAUAUUAGGAGGAAUACCGGCGGCGAAGGCGGCCUUCUGGGCCGAUUCUGACACUGAGACGCGAAAGCGUGGGGAUCAAACAGGAUUAGAUACCCUGGUAGUCCACGCCGUAAACGAUGAUAACUAGAUGUUGGUAGGGGAACCUAUCGGUAUCGAAGCUAACGCGAUAAGUUAUCCGCCUGGGAAGUACGGCCGCAAGGUUG
rnacentral:rRNA from 1 species